UGGGGAAUUUUGGACAAUGGGCGAAAGCCUGAUCCAGCCAUGCCGCGUGAGUGAAGAAGGCCUUCGGGUUGUAAAGCUCUUUUAGUCGGAAAGAAAGAGUUGCAUUGAAUAAUUGUGAUUUAUGACGGUACCGACAGAAAAAGCACCGGCUAACUACGUGCCAGCAGCCGCGGUAAUACGUAGGGUGCGAGCGUUAAUCGGAAUUACUGGGCGUAAAGGGUGCGCAGGCGGUCUUGCAAGUCAGAUGUGAAAGCCCCGGGCUUAACCUGGGAAUUGCGUUUGAAUCUACAAGACUAGAGUGCAGCAGAGGGGAGUGGAAUUCCAUGUGUAGCAGUGAAAUGCGUAGAGAUGUGGAAGAACACCGAUGGCGAAGGCAGCUCCCUGGGUUGACACUGACGCUCAUGCACGAAAGCGUGGGGAGCAAACA
rnacentral:rRNA from 1 species